AAAAAACAGGUUUUCUAUGAUAAAUAAUUACAUCCAAAUCAGGUAUAUGUUAUUAGAAGAUUGAGAUGCGACUUUUAUGAAUUUACAGCAUGAUUUGGAUCAGAUUUCAAGCCGAAUUCAAAAAAAUUCUGUGGCCAGUCCUGGUGUCAGACUAUUAAAUCUUAAUAUAUGGUCAAUAAUGCCUUAAUAUUUCUUGUUUCUAGACUAAGAUAUAGAACAAAUUUAAAAAAAAUACAAUACAAAUAGUUUUAGUUGUUCUUUAACAAAAUGUGUUAAAAAUAUACACUUCAAACUUUAACUUAAAAAACGCUCAUGAAUUCUACUAUAGGAAUUAAUGGAACUUAUCGUUAAAGGAUCACAAUGGUAAAAUACCUAUUAUACCAUAUGACCGAAUAAAAAAACGGCGUCGGCGACGGCUAUGAAAUGAAGAUCGCUCUCAAAUUAUAUGGGGAAUGUCAUCGAUGUUCAUUUCCAAGCCAACUGGACGCCGUUUUUUUUCGAUCGUACGUUAUAAAAAAUGACUUUCUAAUUUAGAGCUGAAAUCGUUUCAUGAAAUAAAACAAAACCGUAUAAUUUUAAAUACUUUUUUAUUGUUUUAUUUCUUUACUCUUAGAAAAUAAAUAGGCUUUAUUAUUAUAUUGAACUGUUGGUAUCAAAACUGGCCUUGUUCAAAGCCAAACUUAAACAACAUAUCACUAUUAUUAACUUAACAACAAAAAAUUACCCAACAAAUAACAAUCAAUUGAAAUAGACAAGGGUAAACUUGAAGAACGUUCAUUUUUUUAUGUAAUCUUCCUAAGAACGAAUGAAACUGGAUUUAUACUGAUUAAAAAAAAACAUAAAAAACUUUAUAAAUUGUAAUAGAGUACAUCCAUUUCCUGUAAGAAAAUAUUUUUGACAAAUAUGCAUUGCAAAUGUGCAUUGGCGAAAUACCCGUAAAGGAUUUUUUGGAGAAAUGUGAUCUGUCAUUUUAAGUCACAGGUAAAUUGCUUUAUCUGUCGAAAACGUCCUUUCUCUGACUGGACUGACUACAAAUAUAGAAAUAAUUUCUCUUACUUUUUUCUAAAAUUUUAAGCAAUUUGUAACCUUGUAUGUAUAAUGUGCCAAAACAAGUAAUUUUCAACCAGAAAAUGGAUGUGUUUUGGUUAGCCUUUUAGCCAUAUACGUAAUUUGUUGCCUUGCAAUAAUAAUAAGCAACUUUAACAGUAAUUUUUUGCUAAAAGUAAAUCUAUUCAUCUUUCCCAAAGGCUUUAGAAACUUUAAAGAGAGACAGGGAGACUAUACAGGGUGUCCCAAUAUUCCGUGGACAGAACUACUGCGUAUUUUUUCAAUCAAAAUAAGUUCAUUUGACACAAUUUACCUCUAUAUAAAAGUACUUCGUUUGUCCGUUAGAGGGCAUCAAACUUAAAGAAAUAAACACAUUUUUUCAGAUAUUUGAUUUAAGUACCUACUGUUAUUCUGAUUUGAAUGAGAUUUUGGGUGUCUGUGUUUUCUUAAGUGCUUUAACAUUCGACUUUCAUAAAAAUCAAGAAAAAAUACGGGAAGGGCGAAAACUACCCCCACCCCUACAUAAAGUUUAGUAUAAAUAUUUUCCAACUCAACCUUUCUUCAAAUUUUCUUUUUGUAUAAUGAUCCCUCUAGUAUUUACUACAUUUUUGUCUCUUAUAAAAAACCCCACCGCGCAUACUUUUUGAGGAAAAAAAAUAUUUUUCCAAAGCUGACUUCAGAAAAAUGUUUUUGUUUUUCACAUCAAGCUAUAGCUUGAUGUUAUAUUUUCAAGAUUCAAGUUAUAGCCUCCAUAUAUGGAGGCGCAUAAAAUCUAUUAUGCUCUAAUAAUCUAGUUGGCGAAAAUAUGGAAUUUUAUGUUAGUACCACAAAUUAUAUUUGACAAUAAGCUUCAUAAAAAGCUUAAAAAAAUUAAUAAAUUUUAAAUUAAUUAACGUUAGGGUUUAAUUUUGAUUGACGCCCUCUAACGGACAAACGAAGCACUUUUGUAUAAAGCUAGAAUUUGUACAAUUAACUUAUUUUGAUUAAAAAAAUACGUAGUAUGUCCAAGAAAUAUUGGUACACACUGUAUUUUGCAAAACAGUCAGCAGUAGAUAUGAACAUACAUAAAAUAUUGAUACAGAUAUAGUACAUAUAUGAAAGGUUCAGAAGUCAAUAAGUCAGUCACCAA